rnacentral:lncRNA from 1 species
AAAAACCCUAGCUUUGACCAUAUGGACUUUUGUUGUUAAAUAUUAUGUGUAUUUUACCACAGUUUUAAAAAACGACAAUUACAGAGCACUGAGAAAGACAUACAUUUGGAUAGAGGAAAAUGCUACAGGGCAGGGGAAGGUAGAUAAGUGCACAGCAUUUUUUUUCUGUGCUAGUUCCACACAGAGUAUUGAGACAUCACUUUACUCCAGUCCAGUCCUGCAGCCUGGGACCAUCAUUUCCAAUAUUCUCAGUGCAGCAAAAUGAGAACAUAUGUGUGCCUCAGGGCAUGUGAUAUCAUGGAGUCCCCUCUGGUGGGGAAGCAAGUCCAUAGGACCAGUGCAAAGCCCCCAACUUCCUGCUGCCUGGACAGUAGAGGUGGGCCAGGGAGAGGCCUUGACACAGCCCUGUGUUCCCAAUUUGUCAACACUACAUUUGGCAGCUGGUUGUUGUUCAGUGUUUUGGAGGAAGAGAAGGAAAGAUGUGUGUGGUUAAGACCCAUCUUCUGUUUUCUUUUAGUUUUCUGGGACCAAGUGGUUGCCUCUGACACGGAGAAUGUCCUUUGUUUAAACAGCAGAGAUCAUCCCCAGAUCCACAGAAUGGACUGCUCCACCGGGAGAAGUCAGCCUGAAUCCAAGUGGCCACCGUCACCCCCGCAGAGGAGCCCUGGGCCAAGCUGCGAUGGAGAAACUCAGGUGCCAGUGACACUGCUUAUAGGAAUCCCACCGUACCUGAAGCCGUCCCUGGAAUUCUCCACCCAAACCCAUUCGAAUGGAGUUUCUGUCACUGACAACUAAGAUGCUAGAAUAAGGAUAUUCUUUUGACAACUGCACUAGAAAAUAUCUUCCUUGAGAAAAUAACUGGCUUUGUAGUUGUAUUUUGUUUAUUCUAUGCUGAAUUUAUCAAUUAUUAGAUAUAAUGAGUAGAAGAGAUCAAAGGAGGCCAUUUUGAAUUAUUAUACAAGUGAUAUUUGGGGGUUUUAAGUUCAUAUAAAUUUUAUAAUACUCAGGCAACAAUAGGGCAAGGUAAACAUGAGGAAAGGUGAUUCCCAUGCAGUGUCCAAAUUAUUGGAAAAACAUUCAAUUCUUUAGUUUAUGACAAUUAUAUUAAC